rnacentral:misc_RNA from 1 species
CGGCGAUGGUCUUCACGGGUGAUCCCUCCCUAAUGGCUUCAGUGCUGCGGCUCGGCAGCGCUUUCCUUUUCGGUAU